rnacentral:rRNA from 1 species
AUUGAACGCUGGCGGAAUGCUUUACACAUGCAAGUCGAACGGUAGAGGGGGCAACCCCUUGAGAGUGGCGAACGGGUGAGUAAUAUAUCGGAACGUGCCCAGUCGUGGGGAUAACGUAGCGAAAGUUACGCUAAUACCGCAUACGAUCUACGGAUGAAAGCGGGGGAUCGCAAGACCUCGCGCGAUUGGAGCGGCCGAUAUCAGAUUAGGUAGUUGGUGAGGUAAAGGCUCACCAAGCCGACGAUCUGUAGCUGGUCUGAGAGGACGACCAGCCACACUGGGACUGAGACACGGCCCAGACUCCUACGGGAGGCAGCAGUGGGGAAUUUUGGACAAUGGGCGCAAGCCUGAUCCAGCAAUGCCGCGUGCAGGAUGAAGGCCUUCGG